AUUGAACGCUAGCGGGAUGCCUUACACAUGCAAGUCGAACGGAGUGGCGGACGGGUGAGUAAUGUAUCGGAACGUGCCCAGUAGCGGGGGAUAACUACGCGAAAGCGUAGCUAAUACCGCAUACUAUCGGAUCGGCCUAUAUCGGAUUAGCUAGUUGGUGGGGUAACGGCUCACCAAGGCGACGAUCCGUAGCUGGUUUGAGAGGACGACCAGUCACACGGGGACUGAGACACGGUCCAGACUCCUACGGGAGGCAGCAGUGGGGAAUUUUGGACAAUGGGGGAAAGCCUGAUCCAGCCAUGCCGCGUGUGCGAUGAAGGCCUUCGGGUUGUAAAGCACUUUUGGCAGGGAAGCGGUACCUGCAGAAUAAGCACCGGCUAACUACGUGCCAGCAGCCGCGGUAAUAC
rnacentral:rRNA from 1 species